GGCAACCCGUUCGGGUCACUUUCCACUGUGUGCGAGGUUUGUUAUUUCACUCUUUGCAAUAAGUCUUGCUGCUGCUCACUCUUUGGGUCCACAUUGCCUUUGUGAGCUGUAACACUCACCGCGAAGGUCUGCACAGCUUUACUCCUGAAGCCAGCGAGACCACGAACCCACCAGAAGGAAGAAACUCAGAAGACAUCCGAACAUCAGAAGGAACAAACUCCCGUCAGGCUGCUUUUAAGAACCGUAACACUCACCGUGAGGGUCCGCGGCUUCGUUCUUGAAGUCAGUGAGACCAAGAACUUACCAAUUCCGGACGCAGUGCCGCUAAUGAUCAACACGGAAGGGAUUAUUAAUACCAUAAGGUUGGGAACUGACGCUGGAACAUGCCACUUGGUUGGAAGAUGGAUGAGGAUUUUCUUUGGUCUGUUUUUGGGAAAAGUUUUCAAGAGGGUCCAGGCUUGCACUUCAGGGGCAGAGAGUUUCUAUGAUGUGGCAGAAAUGGGCUUGGCUUCCACUGGCUUUGCCUGGAGCCGACGGAAGGCGCUCCCAGGAAUAAGAUCGGGAGAAGUUUCUACCCGCUGGAAGGAUGACUGGUGACUGAUGAGAAGUCAGGGAUGGCUGCUGCUUGCCAGGUGGGCCCAAAUGGAAAUGUAUUCACACAGGGAGUAACAGCCUGAGUGGAGCAGGAGCCUCCCCUAGUGCGGGGAAAGUAUUGUCGGGUACAGCAUUCUCCAGGGCAACUUGGCAAAACAAAGCCCAAGUUUUCAAACUCUGCCUAUCAGUUUUACUGCACAUUACGUUGGUGCAAAAGUAAUUGCAGUUUUUGCCAUUAAAAAUGAUGUAAUAGUUACUGUAAAGAUGUUCAUCACAGC
rnacentral:lncRNA from 1 species